CAGUAGCCACGGUAACACGUAGGGUCCGAGCGUUGUCCGGAAUUACUGGGCGUAAAGCGUGCGCAGGCGGUUUGUUAAGACAGAUGUGAAAUCCCCGGGCUCAACCUGGGAACUGCAUUUGUGACUGGCAGGCUAGAGUAUGGCAGAGGGGGGUGGAAUUCCGCGUGUAGCAGUGAAAUGCGUAGAUAUGCGGAGGAACACCGAUGGCGAAGGCAGCCCCCUGGGCCAAUACUGACGCUCAUGCACGAAAGCGUGGGGAGCAAACAGGAUUAGAUACCCCAGUAGUCCCUGUCUCUUAUAC
rnacentral:rRNA from 1 species